rnacentral:rRNA from 1 species
UCAGCAGUCAANGGAUAUUAGUCAAUGGCCUAACGGCUGAACUGGCAACUUGGAGAAGUGGCAAGUUCUUCCAGUAUGGGGAGCAAAACAGUCUAUGGGAUCAAGUCCGAUAUCUUUAGGAGAAGUCUUAUUGUGAGGGCGAGUUAUAUAACACCAUAGGACUGGCCGUCCCAUAUGAAAAGAUUAUAUUAGAAUUGAAUGAAGCUUUGUUUAUAUAUUGAUAAUGACAGUAUAUAUAUCGUGUCUUGACUAAUUGCGUGCCAGCAGUCGCGGUAAUACGUAAGAGACUAGUGUUAUUCAUCUUAAUUAGGUUUAAAGGGUACCCAGACGGUCAAUAUAGCUUAUAAAAUGUUAGUACUUGACUAGAGUUUUAUGUAAGAGGGCAGUACUUGAGGAGGAGAGAUGAAAUUUCGUGAUACCAAAGGGACUCUGUAAAGGCGAAGGCAGCCCUCUAUGUAAAAACUGACGUUGAAGGACGAAGGCACAGAGAACAAACAGGAUUAGAUACCCAAGUAGUCUUUGCAGUAAAUGAUGAAUGCCAUAGGUUAGAUUGGUCAAUUAUAGUCUAGGGUUAGUCUAGCAAACUAAUACCCUAUGCUAUAAUCCUAAUAUCUGGUCUAUAAAUGAAAGUGUAAGCAUUUCACCUUCAAGAGUAAUGUGGCAACGCAGGAACUGAAAUCAGCUAGACCGUUUCUGACACCAGUAGUGAAGUAUGUUAUUUAAUUCCGAUAAUCCGCA